UACGUAGGUGGCAAGCGUUGUCCGGAAUUAUUGGGCGUAAAGGGCUCGCAGGCGGUUUCUUAAGUCUGAUGUGAAAGCCCCCGGCUCAACCGGGGAGGGUCAUUGGAAACUGGGAAACUUGAGUGUAGAAGAGGAGAGUGGAAUUCCACGUGUAGCGGUGAAAUGCGUAGAGAUGUGGAGGAACACCAGUGGCGAAGGCGACUCUCUGGUCUGUAACUGACGCUGAGGAGCGAAAGCGUGGGGAGCGAACAGG
rnacentral:rRNA from 1 species